rnacentral:lncRNA from 1 species
GUGAGUAAUGUCGUAUAAUUGAGUAAAUCCAAUGAUUCCGUUGGGAUUUUUUUUUCCCCUUAGUUUUUGGCUAAGUUCCCAUUAGAUGUAGUUGCUAAACUUCAUUUUUAUUCUUUCCUAAACCAACAUUUUUAACUUAGCAGAGUGCUCGCCUGUAAUCUAGGAAGAGCUGGAUGGUCAUCUGACACUUUUUCUCAUUCCCAGAUACUAGAGACAAAAAGGCAGCCUAUACAUAUACAUAUACAUAUAUAUACAUAUAAACAAUGUAAAAAUAAAAUAAAAAUUCUUAGUCAGUGAGACCUAAGACACUUCUGAACAUGAGAUGUAGGCUCUUCAGAUCUGUGAGUGCUUAUGAAUGUUUUGUUUCUUCCUUUCUCAUAAGGUGAAGGGUUGUGAGUAGUGCAGGGAGCUGAAACGAUCUGUUCCUUCCAGAAUAUAAGGGGAAAAUGCUUACUGGAAGAUUCUCUUAAAGUUACAUUUGGAAUUGUGAAAUUAAGAGUCCCUGUCCAGAGAGACGUAUCUACCUGUCCAGAUGUGCUACUGCCACUUCCAGAUGUGGAUAUCCAUCUCCUCCAGCCUGAGGAGUUCACAGCUCAAGAUGGGAUCUGGAAUAUACAAAAGACUUGUUCAGAAACAUGUAUUGGCAUGUGCCAGAGUGGUUCUUCACUAUCUGCAGUGCCCGCAGGAUACUGAGAUUUCUCUGAUGCAUUCGUACCUGCAGAUCUUCCAGCCCUUUCGUUAGGGAUACUCAAUCACUAGUUCUGCAGGACAGAAUUAGGGCCAAUCCAUUCUGUGCUGAGGCUGUGGGAGCCUUCAGCCAAGCUCAGUACGGCUAGAAUGGUUUCACAGAAAAUGUCUGAAAAACAUUAGAUUUACUUGAAACAAUCUGAUCGUUAAUCAAUACCUGUUGUAGAUGGUUUAAUGUUUGCAUUUGAGGCUCUUCUACUACAUACAAUCUUGUGGAAUGAAAGCUCUGAACAGAAGUUGUUGGACAAACUGACCACUCACAGAAGGUAUUCCUAGGUAGAACAAUCAAUCACUAACAGACACUUUCAGACUGAAAUACUGCAAUAUUAAUACUGGGAGGUACUCUGGAAUAGCUGUGCCAGCUAUGUUUUAGUGUAGAAGGACCCAAAAUAAUAAACAGAGGAAGUAGCUAUUUGCCUUUGCUUUCUGCUCUGUCCAGAGAAAGACUAAUUUCCUUGUAGCUAGGGCAGAAGGUCCAGUACUGGAUAGAGUCCUUAUAAAUAGACACUGUAGAUCUGGAUCAAAAGUACUCAAAUCAUAGAAUGGCUUGGGUUGGAAGGGAACCUCAAAGAUCGUCUAGUUCCAACCCCCUGCUGUGGGCAGGGUUGCCAACCAUUAAAUGUGUGUGAAAGCUGAAUCAAAGGUUUAGGAUAUCUAAGCAGUAGGGAUGCAGCAAUGUUGAGGAGUCACAAAACUAUACUUUCUUCUUCUGUAGGUUUUCCUUCAGAGAGCUUCAGAUAAUCAUCUCUCACUUUUCCACUCGCGGGGAAGUUAAGAAGCACACCCCUUUUCCACAAACAGAAUCCAUAAACAUUUGCUUUCCAGUACUUUAUGGCCAAUUCUCUAAACUCGUAUUUAUCACCCCCUUACUCCUAUGAAGGAAAAUUCUUGCUGAGUCCUAAACCAAGUUGAGUUCUUCCAGAUUUGGGCCCUCAGGAAGAGCCAUAAAGACCACAGUUUUACGCAGUGUAUUCCAUCCAUUGUCUUGCUACCCAGGGGCAGCAGCUUUUGUGGGAAUCACGAAGGACUUCCCUUGUUACGGAGAGCGCUAUCGAUACGUGAACUCUCAGGGGAAGUAACCUCUGUUUCUAUGCAGGAAAUAUCAGAUUAAAACAAAUACACUGAAUAUUGCUCAGUGAAGAGUGAGUAUGAUAUUUACAAUCCUGCUGCCUCCAGUUGGCGUUACUCAGACAUCCGCAGCACGUCUUGAGCUUUCUGUGGGAGUGCAGUGACAGAAGAGGUGAAACAAAAAGGAGGAGAAUGCGUAGAGAUGUCAUACACAGUUUUUGCUAUAACAAUGCAUUGUACACAUUAUUCUUUUCAUCUGAGAAUGUCAAAGCUCGUAAAAGAAUCUAGCUAAAUAUAAAAACUCUGUGAGAAAAGUAAUUCUUGUAUUGAUUAACUACAUGCCAGAGUUAUCCAGUUAUCCCUCAUUAGAGCCAGAGACAGAAUGUAGGAAUAGAGCUAGGCUUCAGCUUCAGCUACAUAAAAUGCUGCUCGAGUUGCCAACAAUGAAGAUCUGCAAGUGGAAUUUGGUUAAUUGUGUCAGUCUGUAGGAACGCUUAUUAUUUGUGGGUAUUACAAUGGCUCUGAGAGUCCUGAGAGUCCUGUAACUGCCAUCCCUUUGCGCAAGGUGCUGUCUGAACACAAAGCAAAGAGGUGGCUCUGGCUUGGAAGGAUCUGAAGUCUUUGAGGACGUUGUUUGACUCAUUUUUCUGCUAGAAGGUCCUGCUUAUACAUUCCCCCCCCCUCCCCACAUUCCUCCUCUCUUCCCCAUCGUGCUGGCCUUGGAUUGUGCCAGUGCUGGUUUUUUUGUGCAGCCUCGUGUUAAACUGAAUCGGGAACCUGAUUUCAAUUAAAAAAUAGUCCUCAGAAAAACACUUAUUUUUAACUGAGACUAAUACUCUGAUCUGUUCCCUGCUGCAGAUGCACAAAGAAUGCCACAAGAGACAAGGUCGCGUAACGGCAGGUAUGAAUGGGGAAAGGGUGAGAACAGGUUGCAUCGAUCUCACUGACACAGGAGAUGUGUUUGUCAGUGUGCCCUUACUGUGGCAAGGCUGCGGUUCAGCUGGUGUGAAAAAACCACACUGUUGUUAGUUUUGUUUAAAUUAACACAAGCAAGUGGGAUAUCGACGUACAAAAUAAGAGAACUUCGGGUGAUGCAGAAGAAGCUUUCAGAGUAGAAUUCGACAUCAUUGCCAAAAAGUCAUCCUUCCCCUUUUGGAUUCAAAAGUAAUGACUCUCAAAAACACACAGAGGAAAUAACCUUUAAACUCUGUGUUUGCUUUUGCAGUGGCACGACUGGAAAAUAAUUUCAUCUGCCUUUACAAAGAAAGCUGAGGAGGGUGUAAAACAAAGUAGAGACCGUUUCCCUCCCACCACAGCCGUACGUCUAUUAUCUGACUCACCACUUCUGGGAUUCCUUCUGGCAGUGCUGGUUUUAUUGCAAUGAAAACUCAAGCGUGUGAAAAAUAUUCCCUAUUUUCUGAGGACUGUUCUAUUCUCUGUUCACUGUUUCGUUCAGGUCAGUAUUCCUUCCUUUAAAGGUUUGGAACUAAAGAUUCAGAAAGUGCUGUUCUUAAGCCUUGUGAGAAGGACUGGCACAGUGGAAAGGAAGGGGGAAGGGAGAAAUGAAAGGGGAGGAGAGUCCAUAUCUGAAGAGAGACUCCAGACUAGAGAAAUUUUACUGACAUCCAUUCAGUAUCCAGCAGGGUCUCCUUCAAGGGCUUUUACUGAGAUCCAAAGACUCUUGCAAUUCACAGAGGCAUUUACAUGCAACGUUGCCCUCUGGGAGCUAAGGUAUAACUGUACUCCUGGAUAAUAAUAACAAAGAAUACUACCAGAUUCCCAUUGAAAUGUCAACCAGGCACUACUGUUCUAGAGAGCAACAAAGAGAUGCUAAUAUAAUUAAUUAUGAAGCCUCAGUACCCUCAUUAACACUUCUUUAGUGCCCAGAUCUUUGAAAAUCAGCUGUAUAAAGUGACUGUCAGAGUUAAUUCCUUAUAAAUUGCCUCCUGUCACUGCAGCAAGUUCUCCCAGGCCGUGGUGAUGCUGAGAAAUCUGUUGUGUGGGAUUCUUUUUUUUUUCUUCUUCUUCUUUUUUUUUUUUUUUUUGUUAGUACUGAUGCAGUCGUAUUGGUUAUUAAAAGUUUAACAUAUAAAGGUUGAAUGAGCAGGAGUUUGUCAGGAUAGGAUAGAGCAAAAUCAAAAAGCCUUUAGAUAACCCAGCUUCCAUAGACUGGUAACACAAAUAGGGAAAGUUUGAAUUGCUUAAAUGGAAAACUAAGGAAAAACAGGAACGAAAGGUGUGACAUUUGGCAUUAAGAUGUUUCCGGACCUUUUUCAAUGUGAGGAUGGCAGCCAGUUUAUAGCCUUCUCUCCUCCUACUGCCUUUACGACAGCAUUUCAGCUCCAGGCCUCAUUCCGAUGCAUCCUCCCUCCCCACCACUCCCGCUUACAAAUAUAUAUUUCAAUAGGCUUAGGCUGCACGGAGUUCCAAACCCAGCAUGUAAUGGGUACAAUUGUUUUCACGCUUUUCCACAGAGAGCCACAUUCAUGCCUUUUGGGGCUCUGCUUUGUCAUGUUCUUGCUCUUUUUUUUCUUUAAGUUAGACCGGGAUCAGAACCCUACACAAACACUAACAAAAAAGCUCAACAAACCACCUACGUUUGCAGUUCAUUCCGUUACAUCCCCCUACCAUUCCGUCUCCUAAAGGAUAUAAAGAAGCAAUCUGUUAGAGAAGAAACCUGGUCAUUAGAGAUCACUUUGCAUUUUUUGCAGCAGUAGAAACACUGAAUGGUGACGUAGCAAACUGUACACAACAGCCUGCUCAAUCUUCUGUGUACUUCUGUACUUUUGAGGAGAUUUUCUGCAGUGUAAAAUUGCAUGGGGUUAUCUGUGUUUGUACAGUGUGCUCCAAGACCCUUUGGGCUCCUUGCUAUGUGUAGGAUAACAGACUGAUCUUAAUGGGAUAUUCUUAUUCACCAUUUCAGAAGUGGCUGUAGCACCAGGUGUAAGAUGAUUUUGCUGUUCCAGCUAAACUGACAACAUGCAAACUCUUUAAACGGAGGUAAAGUUUAUAUUAACAAAAGUAGUCCUUACAAAUGGGGCUGUCCUUCCUACUGUAUUUGCUGGCAUUAUUAGGAAAAUGGUUUUAUUCUCCACUCUUAGAUCACAUAUCAACGUCUCAGUAAAGCUAUGAUGUAUUGAUCACUCAGUGUUUAUAUAAUUCAUAUUUAAUAAACAGAAGUGCAAAGGAUGCUCCAAAAGUAAUGCAUCCUAUUUUAUGAUGUUGGCCCACAAUGUCAGAGGCAGAUGGUGGUGGUAUGGCAGUAGAGGCUGAACCUUCUUGCUCAUUGCUGGCAAAAAUACACAGCUAAUGGUGGUGACUGUGUAGAAAGAUGGCGUUUUGUAACUGAGAAUUUGCUUUAUCAACUCGUGUUAUUGUACUCUUUGCAUCUGUUGUAGUUUCCAUGGAAAUAAAUAGGAGGCAUUACUUUCAGAGCAACCUAUGCUUGAAAUUAAAUAUCUAGCUUUCUGAAGAGCAGUCAAGAACUAUCACACAAAUUGUGCUUGCUUUACAUAAAUAUAAAUUCGAUAGAACUUCGUAGAAUGUAACUAUUUCAGAAUGGCCUUUUAGAAACAGCUUAUCUGCAAGAGAUGCUACUUGGACGAAUAGUACCUAUUUGCAGUGCUUUUUGAGAUAUUCAGGUGCUUCACACAUACCAACUCAAAUUUGAACAGCUGUUUGAGAUGCUAUAAACAUAGUAUGAGUUGGUAAAUUGAUACACAGAUCGGAUAAAUAAUAUUUAGUCACAUACAAUGAAUACGGAAUUAAUUUAAUGGAUCUCAGUGUUUUCUUCCAUGCUGUCAGCACUGCAGCGGGUCAGCUACCUUUUAAGGGUGGGAUGCCAGAUUGUACAUUUAUUUCUGAGAUUAGAUGGUGGGCAUGCUGAUAUAAGCUCAGCAGGAAUGAGGGGAUGCUGUGUCUAAAAAGAGAGAGCUGCUGCCAAUCAUAUUGCUGACAGUAUCUUGUCUGUGUCCAAAGCAGAGGCUCCCAGCUGCCACCACACUUGCAGCACCACGACAGCCAGAAAUUGGGAUCCCAAGCCUUUCGAUAUGCCAUGGCUCCUGGCCCUGUGCCAGCUCUUCCUUGCCGUUCAGAAUCCGCCUGCAUGGAGUCUUCACACUCCUGUGGUGGCAGCUUGCUGCCACCUGCAACAAAGCAAGCUUUCCCUAUGCUCCUUCCACAAAGCGCUGUGGGACCACAUCAGAACACCUCCGUGUCUGACACUGCCAGGACAGAAAGGAAAAGCACGAUAAGACUCACUGAAAUACGGUUCCACAUUACAGCUCCGGCAAAUCAGAGACUGCAAUAAAGCAGAGCCAAACCGCACUCUGUGUAGGAGAGUCACCUCCUGGGCUGUUUGCUUACGUCUCAUCUUCAAAGCAGCACAGAUGUGCGGCAGGAGCUUUGAUAUCAGAGAGCACGCGGAUGUACUUUUGGUGUUUCGUGUGUUCUCAUUUCACUUCGUUAUCUCAAAAACAACAAAAACCCCACAAAACACCACCGCCGCCGCCACAAAACCCCACCAACUUUCCUGCUCGCACUCGCUGUGUCGGGGCCUGAAGUCUCACGGGCUGCUCCAUGCCUUCAAUGGGACACAGACCUGCAUAAACUCACAGCUGUAAUAUUUGGCCUUCCAGCACAAACUCGGCACUUCUCGUCACAGCGCUCAGCAUUCAGCGGGCACUGAAGGCGAUCUAUUUACGGACGACAAACCCUCGUUUGAAGCCCUGACAUCCUCGCAGGAGGCGCGCGGUGCUGCCGGGCGUCCCACAGCAGCAGUCGGCACAGCGCACAGCCCCGCUGCCCGCAACGGCACGUAGGAAAAGGCUUAACAACGUAAAACGAGCACUGCUUGCACAGCGUGGGCGAAUAUUUAUUUCAUCGGUUAAGGAACGCGUUUCUCGCUGCCGCAUCUCCACACGGGACAAAGCGCUGUUCCGGCGGCACGCAGCCGCUUCCCGCUCCGCUCCCGCGCGGCCGGGCUCCCUCAGCUACACGGUUGACUCGCGCGCUGCCAUUACCGCGGCUCCCUGACAAGAGCACCCACAGCGAGGAAGGGAGCCGGGCACCAGGCCUGGCACGAGCACCGCGCUUCUCCCCCGGCACCGCUCCCGCCGCCAUCUUAACUCCUGGCGCCCGCCCCCGGCGGCGCGGCGGGGCUCAGCGCGAGAGUGGCAACUGGGGAAGGAGAAACCCCCGCUGCAAACGCCUCGCCGACCCCGCUCCGCCGCAGUCCGCCCGCAGAACGCAGCCGAAGCGCCAG